UGCUGAUCAAAGUCAUGGUUGCUGUGGGUGAAGUUGCUGAUCAGCAGCUCUCAGUCAUGAAGUGUUCAAGUCACAGGACUAUAAACACUCACAGAGCACUGAAGCAUGGACUGCUAAUGCAAAGUGUGUGUGUGUGUGUGUGUGUGUGUGUGUGUGUGUGUGUGUGUGUGUGUGUGUGUGUGUACUGCAGUGUGAUGAGGUUUUUGAACGACGGUUUCAUUAGAAUGUAUCACUGUGGUGGACUUUUGGUGGAGGCUCCAAACUCAUGGUGAAAACUCUUCCCACCGUGUCUCUGCUCCUUCCGUCCCCUCUGCAGCUGUCUGAGGGAUCAUCCUCGCUGCUCUGCCUGCUGUCUGGCUACUCUCCACAGGGGGCGCUGGUGAGCUGGACAGUGGACGGCUCAGAGGUGAAGACCGGCGUUCUGAACAGCGCAGAAGAAGAGAAGAACGACGGUUACAGCCUCAGCAGCACCCUGACCCUCAGCAAAGACCUCUGGGAAAAGGGGGAGGAGUUUAUCUGUAAGGUCUCCCAUAACAACAUGGAUCAUCCAGUCACGUUCAGAAAGAGUCAGUGUGAAGGCGAGUGAAGCCGAGAGUUGCUUCUGAUCCAUCUACAAUAGAGUUUCAAUUCUACACAACGCUGCAUUUAUGUCUUUCUUCUCUGUUCACUGUCCUGUUGCUCUUCCUGUAGUUUUUGCUGAAAUAAAGCUGAGUUCUGGA